ACAGGUGGAAACCAACCACCCGAUUGGGGGGUUUAAGCGCGCACGCUAAACUGUUUUGACAAUCACAAACCUGCCAUGUUGUGUUGGACGUUGUGUUAGCCCGGAGAAAGGAAAACGUGCUGGUUCCACAUUCCACAAUUCGCCACAAAUAAUUUUUGCGCAGGUGAGAAGAAUCAUACUGAUCAUACUGACCCCUUUAAGAGGCAACAAAAUACGCUGCAACACCCCCUCCCCUCCCCCCCCCCGACCCGGUCACAGUCUCCCAAAAGUCCAGACAACAAGGCCGUUUUGAGAUUUAUGUCCGGUCUUACAGUUUCGGGUGUAAGACUUUAGGUAUCAAAGAUCCACGUGGACGGAAGGCCGAUACAUUUGUGUACGUGCGUCCUUGACUUUGUGUCCUCAGCGCAGAAACCAGCGGGAAAUAGGAAGAACCGGGUAUUCUGAGGAGCUGUUGGAUCAAACGAACACAAGCAGCAAAGUGAUUACACAAAAAUAAAUGGUCUUUCCGAUCUUUCUCUAUUUAACGGUUUCCUGAAAGCCGUUUGUAAAGGACAGGCGGACAAGCCAGAGACAGAUAGAUGGAGGUCAGUAGCGGAUCAGCCGUGGGAAAGAGGCAACGGAGGGAAACACAGCAGUGAAAGGGGGCCGACUGCAGAGACGCCGCCAAGCACACCGACCACGGCUUGCUCUUAACGGGCGGCCUGAAAAAAAGACACACGCACCGUUGCUUAAGUUGCAUCGGCUUGAACUUGAAUUGGCCGAGUGCCCAAAGUGGCCUGUCGGAAGUAAGUGAGACGCGGCGCAGCUGCAGCCCGAGUGUGUUUGUGUGCGCCGCUACAGUACGGCACUUUUUUAACCUCUGUCGCAACCUCUGGCCGCACUCGUGGCCUGGUGAUCGGAUGCACUGAUAAAAACGCUGUGUGUCUGUGUGUGUGUGUGUGUGUGUGUGUGUGUGUCUUCACUCGUCAGCACUGUAGGGCAGCAGGGCAUUGUGGGACAGUGCCGGGUUUCGGGGGCAAAGGUCUGGUCUCUGUCACUGUGAUUGAGUCUACAGCUUAUAAACACGCAGAAUGGACACUGCUCGGGUCUCUAUUUCACGCAGUUUAUACGUGUGUGUGUGUGUGUGGUUUGAUCCUACAAAGUCCCAGCACCCCUACUAAAUCCUUCACAGCAGCCAUUUGCCCCCCCGUCCCCCCUCUUCCUCCACUGUCCCCACUACUAACUUCACUCCCUGUUGCUGGAUGUCUGCUCACCUCCGUGCAGCCAAAACAAAUGGAGUCAAAACAUUUGAGAAUAAACACUCUUUUUAAGCCACCUUGCAGGCCGCACACUCGAUCCUGUUAAAAUCGGUGUUUUGAAGCCGAACCUGAAGCGACGGCGAACCGGAGAUGUGUUGUUGUUUGGCUUUGUUUACACCCCAGCGUGGCACGUCGGCGUUUCCUCCCAGAGGCACUGAGGGCGUUGGAACCCAGUGGGCUGUAAAUAAAUGCUAUAAUCCAACCUCAACAAGUGCAGAGACGGGAUUGAAAGUUACCGUUACACAUGUGGCCUUCAGACGAGUCGACGGCGUGAGCGACCACAUGCAACAAGUGUCCGGUGGGACAACAAAGGACUCUGAAAUGGGUUUUGUCUAUUAACAGAGCAAAGAGAAGGUCGGUCUACAACACACACACACACACACACACGCACAAACACACACACGGAGGAAGAGCAGCAAUGUCUGCUGAGUAAAUGUUCUGAAUCCCGUUUAUAGAACCAUUAACAGGUGUAGUUUUCCUUGUGUGUGACAAUAAACGCACGGGACAUUUCAUUUCAACAGGCGACACCGCCGACUCUCAGCCACAUCUAAGACAAAUAACAAUUCUACGUUGUUGUGUCAAGGGUAUCGGUGUCUGUUAAAUAGUAUUAUAUGUAUCUGGCAAAGCUAGAUUGUGAUUCAUGUUCUGUGAUUCGUUGUUUUCAAAUCUAAACUGGUAUUUGAAAGGUUUAAAUCUUUAGACAAUUAUUAAAAAAAAUGUUUUUAUUAGCUCAUCCUCCAGAUUUAUGGUGUCUUUUUUUGAAGUGUUACAGAUAUCCAACACUACUUUUAGAGCUUGCAUUGAGGAUUUAAGAUUCACAGGAGGAUUGCGCAGACAAAUCACUCGAGGGCUCCAGGGAAGUUUAUCCAAAGUACAGAUUAUGCACGACCGAAUCAUUUCAUAUCUCUGUUCCUCUGUAAAUGAAGGGGAUGCAACGUCAGGAUUUUCAUUACACACCUAAUUAUCUGUGUAACACUUGACCGUCACUGAUAUUAUUCACACCUGAUCACUCAGGCUGUUGUUAACAUGCGGGGCGAUGAUGGAGAGGGAUGAUAAACAGUGCUGCGCCCUUAUUGGCUGGAUCAGGUUCGGUGCUUUGAUCCUCUUCCUCCUCAUUAGUCAGCGGGGGAAUAAGUCGCCCAGAGCGACAGGUGUGCGAGUCUGUUUAUACAUGUCGACAUUUCUGUAACACAUUAAAUAAGGUGCAAAAAUUCCAGAACACUCACCAGAAAACGUGUUUGUCCGAGCUCUAUCAUAUUUAACAUUACAUUUGACUUUUAGUUCAUUUUGAAGGAAGAAAAAACGGAUUUCGUUUUUUUUUUUUUUGUUCCUGCAGAUGAAAUGAUCUCAUCACAUCAUAUCUCCUCUGUCUACGUGGUCGGGUUAGCUCAUAGUUUCACACUCAUAAACAGACCACGGACACACACACACACACACACACACACACACUAUGACAUUCAGGGGUAAUUACUGUAGCUCACUGUGCUAAAGGGAGACAGAGCAUUAUCAGACCCCAGGAAGAGCGAUAUGAGCAGUCCCUGAAGGCAGCACACUGAGGGCUGUGUUUUCUGCAUCCACGUACGUGUCUUUGUCUCUGUGGCAAGAGGGUGAGGUGGGGGGGGGGGGUGUUAGCCUGCUCUUGUGAACAAACUCCAGGCUCGGGUAAGAUACACCCACGUAACCUGCCGAUAUCUCCGGAUAAACCGGCCAAAAGCUGCUGAUAGCUGGGGUGUUAACUGCCCCAGAUGAAUGAAAACCAACGCCUUUCUGGGCGAAGACAUUACGCACAUCACCCUCCUCCCCUGGCUGUCUCCCUUCCAGCCUACAAUCUCCCCCCCAGGUCCCGCAGGGGAGCCGUCGCCCCCACCGGGCCCAGCAUCCCGGCUGCACCAGGGCUGCUCCGCCGAUACGCCUCUCGUCUCGAUGUUCAGGGAGGGAACGCGUGUGCAAAUAUUUGACUUGCAUGGACACACACACCCUCCCACUGCACAGCCGUGAAAGCCUGAUUUCCAACACUGGUGUAAUGCAACACGGCAUGCCUUUGGUUGUCUUUAUGACAGAAAAGUAGAAAGAAAGAACAAAUAAAAGAAAGACAGAAGAAUGUGGAAUUAGCGGUUUGUGGCAUGAAGUGAUGGUGUGUUGUGUACACGAGUGUGUGUGUGAGCGUGUGUGAGUGUGUCAGUUCUCCCAUGAGAUGCAGAUAUAAUGCUACCGGAGGCUAACAGGAGAUGACCAAGAGGUGAGAUGUGAGUUGUGAUACAAAAAGCCUCUAACACACACACACACAUUCAGCAUCAAAUCCCAAGGGAGCGUUAAGAUCCUAUGAACCCAAGUCCCAAAGCAGGAAGCAGACUAGUACGUGUGUGUGUGUGUGUGUGUGUGUGUGCACAUUAGCUCAUUAGUGUGUGCAUGUGUUUGUUUGUGUCACUGCGGGUGUGACCCAAGCUCCGGUGCAGCUAACAGACAGGUCCACUUAGCCGAGGACAGACACAACAGCACCUCACCUUCAUGCGGUGAUCACAGACAGACGGUGACCUCUCUACUACAGCACAUAGCGUUUCAUCAUGAGGUUAUGAUGCUGAAUACAGAUUUCUCUGAUGACACCACACUUCAUGCAUUUAUGAGAAAGAGAAAGGUCGUUACAGGGUGACCCUUGAAAGAUGUGAUGCUCUGCACUUGUGAGUUUGUGCAGGGACGAAAGUGGACCCUUUGAACAGGUAUUCUUUCCGAGAAUACGGGUGCUUCCACUAAACAUGGAACAGUGUUUGUUUCUUUCCUUAGUUUGGUUGGAAUAAGAACUUAAAGGUCGAUAUGCAGACUGAGCAACGCUUGAAUUUGUUUUUGCCAGUAUGAUUCCACAUUUUUUCCACUUUCCUCUAUUUAUUAUUACUUUGUGCCGUGUGUUUAUGCGUAUUAAUCUCCAUCCCUCCCUCUGCCUUUCUUCUUGUUUCUUUUCCCAGAAGAUUAUUGAAUUGUUUGUGGUUGCAAAGAGGUGGGAUAAAAAGUGUGCCAUCAAUUAUUCUCAUAUUUCCAAGAAUGUCUUGAGUGUAUCACACACACACACACACACACACACACACACACACACACACACGUGCACACACACACACACACACACGUGCACACAUCCAUAUCCACUUCCUCUCACUUGCUUAGAAAUAUUAGGCAAAAUAUCUCUGUCGUUGUGGUGUAUCCACUGUCCAGCUGUUUGAUUUGUAUUUAAUGUUUGGCUUAUUUAUUUGACAGCAGCGGUGUGUAUCUCAAGAGUUGAGAAGUGUGUAGGAAUGUUUGUGUGCGCUUGUGUUUCUCCCUCGGUUUCAUCAACAUCAUCCCUAUAACGUCUUUAAUCGUUAAUAGUUUGCCGACAUAUGUUAAUGAGUUGGCGUUUGUUUUUGCUUUGCGUUUUGUUCAUAAAUAUGUAAUGAUUGGAUUGUAGCUAUUUGCAUUAGUUAUUGAGUCACUUUUGUCAGAUCAUUUUAGUAAAAUGCCAGCAGGUAAACGUCACAGCCAUGAGAUUGCUGUUAUGUAGCAAAACGUGACUCAUCUGGAAAUGUGCAUGGAAAUGAAAACUGUCAAACACUACAUUUGAUUUUUUAGAAUUUUGAUAUGAACUAUGACACUGCUGGAUCCCCUUUUCAAAACCCCUCUUUGUUGGUAAACAAACUGCUGCAGAGUUGUAAGAUUGCUUGUUUUCUUUGUUGAUUCGAGAUUUGUCCAAAUGAUCAUGUAUGAUAAUAUAACAUGUAAAAGACAAAACAGGGUCCUUCUACUUUCAGUGGGCAAAUUUGAGCUCACUUAACUUUUAUUUAGUUGAAUGCAGGUCAUGGCGGUGCAUUUAUUCCCAGUGUACUCUUCAAUCAUUAUAUUACUUUGAGCAAAGGUCUAUCUGAAGGCAUCUGGACCUUUCCAUGACCGAUGAGGCCUCACCUUGCUUUUUUUACUACACUGUUUCUUCUUAGUUUGGGAAAGAAAACGAGCAGAUCUAUCAGCGAGAUGGUGGUCCUUAUCUAUCUCUUUCCCCCUGCAUGCUAAUUAAAGACAAUAAACCUUCCCGAUCAUUUCUCUGCAGCUCCAAACUCACCGUCACCUCUGCUCCUCCAGCACCCGCUCGCACAUGGCCAGAUGGGGUGAGAACACACACACCUACACGCACACACGUGCCUAAACACAUGGUUGUUGGCUUUCCCCCGAGGUAGCAGGUGUUUGUAAACUAAAAUGCUGCGUAGCCGCAUAUAGGCAACGCUGAAAUGCGUGUUUAAAUAAGCACUGAAUGAUAAAAUGCAGGUCUCUUAAAUACACAACGCCACAUCUUUCUGCACCCAGCAUCUAAACGCGCCCCACACACACACACGCGCACAGAUUCAUUUUAUCGUAUGUCUAAGUUUAAAGCUCUCGUUUAUCUUCACUCCGCGCCUUAAACACAGGUGUUUGGAGAGCUUACAGAUGAGUCUGAUGCCAGAUAUCGUGCGACUAUGUUCAAGUCUUCUCUCUCCCUCUCACACAUACGAUUGUUUCCCACAGAAACUUCCCCCCCCCUACUUCACUUAUCACAAACACACAGACUUUACUCAAACAUGUCUUUUCCCCCACUCACCAGCUCCGGCAAUACGCAGAUAUUUAUUUAGCCCAGAGACAGGGAGUCUCAUGAGCAGACCGGCCCUGAGAUUUUUAUUGAGCAAGAAGAUAAAAAGACCAGUUCUGCUCUGCGUCCAUUAGGGCUAAAACGGCCCGAAGAUCGUCUGAUGAAAUGGAAUAAACUGUUGUGGUUAUCUCCCCCUCUGGCUGCGGGGGUGCAGGGGGAGCCGGAGAGAGAAGGAGAGAGAAGGACCACAUACGCACGCUCCCAAAACUACACAUUACCUAACAGACGCACACAAAUCUAUCCCUCCUUGGUAUUGCCCAGGUCUGUAUUUACCCCUAACCAUAACAGAGCAGGCAGAUAAUGGCUGAGGGGACCGUCGUAAAAAUAACCUGGCACACGUCUGUUUGGAUUAACCGCGUCUCCUCACUCUUUCUUUCUGCUUCUUGAUCCCUCCGUUAUGUUUUAUUGCUAUUUUCUAUUCCUACCAUUUUUAAUCUAUCUCUAUUCAUCGAUCAAGCUGAAAUGAAACGACAGUAUGGCCACGAAUAGUUGAUUCUCUUCCUGCUGUAUUGGUAUUAUGUUGUAUUUUUAUUUUGGAAGCGCCUUAUCAACAGAAGAAGCAACAGGGGCUGCUUUUUCUCCCCUCAAACUAGUCUCUUUGUUUGCGCAAGAUAUAAAAUACUUGUCCAAAUAUGUUAAAAAACUGAAUCCGGGGGGGGGGAGAAAACAAGACAGACCAAGAAACCGCAUGUAUCAUUAGUAAUACUUCCCUUGUAGGGAGUCUGAGCUGGAACCACAAGCAUUCCCACAAACACUGCAAUAAAUGUUGGAACAAUAAAACAGCUCAUUCUCUAUUCAGUGUUGCAGUUCUCCCAGUGAACUUCCCCCUCAACAUGAGUGGAUGAAUUGACUCUUAAAGGUGCGAGAUCAAAUAUUUGGAGCAUUUCAAAUUUCGUUUCAGCAGCUUUAGCUCUGUUUUGGUCACCACCAACUCUUGAGGGACAUAUUCAGCUCUUCAGGAGCUGAGUGCUCGACUUUGUUCACAAGCUUUUGCUGGCUUUGUCUAGCUGCUGGUUGGUGGUGGGACCAAUAGAGGGAUCCCAGUAGGGAACCAAAAAAGACAUCGUAAAAUGAUGGGGAAACUACAGACAACAGAUAAUUACAUUUCAAAAUUUGUAUUUCAAAAUGGGAAUAAGAGUGCUUUUUGUAGCUUAGAAUGAACCGUUUUUAUCUACAUAUCUAAAUAGAGCCAUUUGGGUAUUUGCAUUGGCCACAUGAAGCAUAUGAAAUAUGGACAUAUAGGUUUCUGUUACUUCAAAUAACUUUAAUGGCAAAAAAAAACGUCAAUGCUGAAGUUGCUGACUCCUUGCGAUGAACAUUCCCACAGUUAAACCCUUCGUGUUUUCCAGGAUGUGCCUUUUUCAUGAGUCAUGUUCAAUCAAACCGGAAACAAUUAUGUUAAAAAACCAACAACACGACAGUUGAUUCCUUCAAUAAACUCUCUGAACCCCAAAGGAGGACAUCGAAGGCCCGUAAAAUGUUGAUCCCCUUGUCUGAUGAGAAUGGGAGGCCAAUAUUUUAUAUCCUUGUGGAGGACGUGGAUACAAUAUAUCUGACAGAGCUUUAUUAGCUUACUCUUUAAUGACUUCCUGCGCAGAGUGAGUCUGCAGGAGACAGAGGGAGUGGAACUUGCUAAGAAUCUUUUAUUUAUUUGUUUUACUCUUUCUUUUUGCUCUUGGACUUUCUUUGAACUGUUUAUCCUCUUCCCUCAUGCUUCUCAUCCCCGUGGCUGAUUCCUCAUUCGCCUUCCAUCUAUCUAAAACACCGUCCUUUGGAGAGACUGCAAAGUGAAUGCCUCUUCAACAUGAUAAGUAUAUAACCUUGUCCACGUAUUCCUUAGUGUACACCUCUCUCUCUCUCUCUCUCUCUCUCUCUCUCUCUCUCUCUUCUGGACGGCUAAGAUGGGGUUACUAAUGAGCACAUGUUCUGAUGAUGAAGCCUUUUUCCAAGAAUCUUUUCUCCCAAACGCCCGUGGCCUUUGGAUGACUCCCCAAGGAGACCAUUAAUUUAGAUAUCAGUGUGUGUGUGUGUGUGUGUGUGUGUGUGUGUGUGCAUUCGUUUGUGCCUGCAUGUUGCUCUCAUAUGAGUGGGAGAUCUUUGUUGCUUCAUUUCAUUGCACACAAACAGCAGUAUGAGCAAAAGCAGAUCAAUUAGAGUGCGCGCACGUCAGCGAACACGCAACGGCACGGCGCACAAAACCAAACUCCCAAAAGUAUAAGCUGGUAAAACACAACAAACCCUUAUCACAUAUCCCUCCUUCCUAUCAUCAUUCUGCACCUUCACCCCGACUUGUUCCC
ensembl:lncRNA